CAAUAUCAAUGUCUUUACCAGGUCUGAACCCAACAAUGUAGUAAUCAAUAUCAAUGUCUUUACCAGGUCUGAACCCAACAAUGUAGUAAUCAAUGUCUUUACCAGGUCUGAACCCCACAAUGUAGUAAUCAAUGUCUUUACCAGGUCUGAACCCAACAAUGUAGUAAUCAAUAUCAAUGUCUUUACCAGGUCUGAACCCAACAAUGUAGUAAUCAAUGUCUUUACCAGGUCUGAACCCCACAAUGUAGUAAUCAAUAUCAAUGUCUUUACCAGGUCUGAACCCAACAAUGUAGUAAUCAAUGUCUUUACCAGGUCUAAACCCAACAAUGUAGUAAUCAAUAUCAAUGUCUUUACCAGGUCUGAACCCAACAAUGUAGUAAUCAAUGUCUUUACCAGGUCUAAACCCAACAAUGUAGUAAUCAAUAUCAAUGUCUUUACCAGGUCUGAACCCAACAAUGUAGUAAUCAAUGUCUUUACCAGGUCUAAACCCAACAAUGUAGUAAUCAAUGUCUUUACCAGGUCUGAACCCAACAAUGUAGUAAUCAAUGUCUUUACCAGGUC